rnacentral:ncRNA from 1 species
CAGAGUAAAAGAAUACGCGUUAAGUGUUUGCCGUACGGGGAGUUGACGGCAGAACGAAAGCGGCACGCCGCUUUUUCAGUAACGACUGACGCUUGAUGGAAGCAACUAACAAUGCUUCAAAAAGCUGACAUUCAGUCUGGGACGGAAAAAGGGCACGCGUGCUCUGCGGUGUAUUCUUUGCAUCCCGCUGU